UACAGAGGGGACAGGCGUUAUUCGGAAUGACUGGGCGUAAAGGGUAUGUAGGUGGGGAUUAAAAGACUGUUAGAAAAGCCUUGAAAUUUGUUUAAGACGGCUAACUUUUACUUUCAUCCUAUAUGAGUUUAAUAGAAGUAAUUGGAAUUUUUAAUGUAAAAGUGGAAUUUGAAGAUAUUAAAAAGAACAUCGACGGCAAAGGCAUUUUUCUAUAUUAAACUGACGCUGAGGUACGAAGGUAUGGGUAUCAAAUUGG
rnacentral:rRNA from 1 species